rnacentral:rRNA from 1 species
UACCAGCACCCCGAGUUGUCGGGACGAUUAUUGGGCCUAAAGCAUCCGUAGCCGGCCUUACAAGUCCUCCGUUAAAUCCAGCUGCUUAACAGAUGGGCUGCGGAGGAUACUAUAAGACUAGGAGGCAGGAGAGGCAAGCGGUACUCAGUGGGUAGGGGUAAAAUCCGUUGAUCCAUUGAAGACCACCAGUGGCGAAGGCGGCUUGCCAGAAUGCGCUCGACGGUGAGGGAUGAAAGCUGGGGGAGCAAACCGG